AACGCACCUUGCGCUCCUUGGUAUUCCGAGGAGCAUGCCUGUUUGAGUGUCAUCGAAAAUCUCAAGCCAAGCUGUUUUGACUUUGGUCGAAAAAGCCUGGAUUUUUGGAGUGUUGGGAGGUCUGCAGGCGUCCCGAUAUUGGGACUGCCAGCUCUCCUGAAAUGCAUUAGUGGGGGAUGGGCAUCGUGACCAGCCUCUUCGACGUCGUAACGCGAUCGUCGUGGACUUUGGGAGCUUUCCCCCCCUUGACUUUGCUUAUCGGUGAAGGCUUGACCUCAAAUCAGGUAGGACUACCCGCUGAACUUAA
rnacentral:misc_RNA from 1 species